CUGAGCUAUAUCUCCAUAUCAUUCAGAAAGCAAUGUUAAAAUGCACUUCAUCUGGAAAAGGAUUCUUUGGUGAAGUUUGUGGGAGAAGUCUAGAGAUCAUUUUACAUGGAAAACCUGAAAUCCAUCAUACUAACUAGGUGACGUGGAGUCUGUUCUCACAUUUAAAAUUAAUUUCCAUUUUCCCUACAGAAAAUUCAGUAUCUGAAAAAUUUUACACGUCAACUAAGGGGAGAUUUUAGCAGCCAACAUGCAGAACAGCUUUUCUUCAGCACCACCUGCUCUUUACCCCCAAACCUUUACCCCAAAGUUAAAAUCAACAGUUAGAAACUUUUGUAGACUCUGAAUGGUGUGGUGUGGUGAGCAGCUGAGCCAGACAUCCUUCUGCUGCCAGGAGGCAACACCUCGCUCUGCUGUUCUUCAUUGCACCCCCCUCCUCUCUUUCUGCUGCCCAAGCUUGAAUCGGUCUCAAUAAGAAGGGAAAACAGAAGUCAAGAAACUAAACAACGCCAUCAAGAUCACAUAAUAACCCAGCAGAAAAGGGCAGACCAACAUUCUGAUUUACUUUUUUUUCUUUUUCUUUUUAAUUCCUGUCCUUGACACAGGUCUGUGCUGCACUUUAUCUAAAUAAUCAGAGAUAGGCUAGUUCACAAAAACAGGAAGAGGUAAAAUAAGCAGAUGGCUUUUUUUUUCUCCCUCCUUUCAGGAAAAAAGUAGUAAAAUCAAAGGAGCCGAUUUUUUGCUUAUGUUUGGAGGAAGGCAUUGAUCUACAGAUCGUGUUUCAGUUUGACAAGUAAUACCAAAUAACAUCCAGGUUGUGCAAGUCAGAGAUGAGUGAGGCAGUGUGAUUUUUAGGCUGAUGUCCCAAGGGUGGGAGCUCAGCACUGGUGGUGACUGUCUGUCUCUUCUUUCUUUACCCAGUAAAUUUUGUAUCCUAUGGGCAAUUUCAUAAUAUCGUAGAACACAGUCAUAGAAUAUCCUGAGUUGGAAGGGACUUAGAAGAAUCAUCAUGUCCAACUCCUGGCUCCACACAGGACUACCCACAAAUCAGACCAUACGUCUGAGAGCAUUGUCCAGACACUUGAACCCCAGUAGCUUGGGACCAUGACCACUGCCCAGAGCAGCCAGUUCCACGCUCACUGAUGAAGAACCUUUUCCUAACCCCCAGUCUGCCCUUCCUCUGACACAGCUCCGUGCCGUUCCCUUGGGUUCUGUCGCUGUCACAGACAGCAGAGCUCAAUGCUGUCCCUCCACUCCCUGUGAGAGCUGCAACUGCCAUGAGGCCUCCCCUCAGCUCCUCUGUUCUGGGCUGAACAAACUGAGGCACCUCAGCUGCUCCUCAUGUAUUUCCACAAAACAUUUGUGAAAGACAGUCCCUAGAGAGAGUGACACAAGAAUGAGUACUCAAACAAAAGCAGGGAUUCAGACUGGGGUUACUGGGGGGCAGCGGAGAGAGACAGCGAUAUUGUAGAAGGAUUUUUGGGCUGCGGAGGUGGUAUAAUGAUAUUGCAGUAAGGUAGGAGGGGGCAGGAACUGAAGCUAUUACACUAAUGAGCCAUAGGAGGCAACAUUAUAGGAAUCCAGUUUUGCUAAUUUUGCUGUUUACUUUCUAGAAGAAAAAAAGAAAAAGACUUUGUGGCUUUUUGAAACAACCUCAGGUGUCUGAAAUUUUUCAUUCUAAACCUUUAUUUUUGAGUGACUAUCCACUUUCAAAGAGAUAGAAAGAAUGUAUCUGCUUCAGUCAUUUCUGGUGGGAAAUCCUACAUAGAAAGUAAGUGUCAGAACUUUACAUGAUUUUGACUCUUGCAUGUCCACUAUUUUCUACAAGAAAAAUAAACCCGUCAACCCACGACAAUGUCUGUAUUUAUUUUGUCCUCUCAAGGUAAAGGUUUUUUCACUAGUGUGUUUCUAAUUACUAAAGUAAAUAGAUCCAAAUUUUGAAACCAGACACCAUAGUGACUGAUCUAAUUGUCUUCCAACGACUUGAAGUCAACACAGUACCGCUCCUGAGCAGUGUGGUGAGUUCAGGAGAAAGCACAGAGCAUACCAUGGUUUUGGCCCUUCAAAAAUUCAUGAUCAAAGUUACCAUGAAACAGCUUUAAUAUUUUGAGAUCCAUUCAGAAAUAACAAUAGCAAAUAAUCCUGGAUGAGUCGAGCCCGAAAGAACAGGAAAAUAUCAGCUUGCUCUCCUUCUGCCACCUUGCUUAGGAAGAUUCCAGGGGUUAAAUACAUCUAUCCAUGGCAGAGCCCCCACCUUCAAGUUCUCUGCACUGCCCAACACUAGGAGCUGUGAAGUUAGUAACAAACAGCAAAAGCCAAGCGGUAUCAACUUGCAGAAGAGUAAGAGCAUGGACAUGGUUUGUUUGUAUAGCAGAUUGUAUGAAGAACACCCCACUCAGAGUGUUAAACUGCCCCAUCCCCUUCAAACAAGACAGCAGCUAAAAAAUGUAAGUCUGAAGGAAGAUUUUUUGGCCUCCAAGCUUGAUAAAUUAAUGCAAAUUAAAAGCUGAUCUGUGACAAGGUGUAGAAUCAGGGCCGCACAUUUGUAUUGCUAUGCAGAGGUAUGUAGGGGUAGAGUGCCUCAGCAUCAAUCAACAGAGGAAAGGAAAAAGACUCCAAGGCAGCUAUCGCCCGAAAAGCCAAAUGAAGCCCUUGUAGGCUUUCCUGGGGAGGCUGGAACACUGCCUCAUUUAUUCCAGAUGUAACCUACAAGACUCAUUUGUUCUGUUGAUGGCUAGAUAGCAUAUUUCAUAGAUGUGUCUCAAAUGGUAAGUGACUAGCGGUUAAAAAUAGCAGUCAUACAAGCACUGUUCACAUCAGCAAGCAAAAGAUGUGGGAUCAUGCUUUACAAGAACAUCUUUUGUUCUGGAUUCAUAAAGGCAGAGAACAUGUCAGCAAGAAAGGCAUGAGAUGACUCCGCUUGCUGGCUACACGAGUUUUAGCUCAAGAAAAAAGCAGCAGCUUCUCAACAUUUUUCUCUGUAACUUGCCAAAUUCUAACUUCUCUUACUCUUGUGUUUCUUAUUUUUAACUAUAAAAUGAAGAUAUUCUAUACAUCAUUCAACUUCUGCAAGACCUGAUUUGUUAGUACAUACAGAUUUUCUCUGAUGUUGAAAACAUACAAUGACAGACCUCAAGAAACACUGUCUUAAUUCUAGAGUUUCUUAUUAACUACUGUGCUGAGAUUGUCUUGGAACAAAUCAUAAUUAUUAUCCAGACAUCUUUAUUCAGCAUGCGAAGAUUCAUGGGCAAUCUUGCAGAACUACAUUGCCACUUUCUACUCAUAAAAGGAUAGCUUUUUUUUUAAAUCAAGACAUUUCAGCCUACUAACCAUAACUUCUUAUGUUUAGUAGAAUUUUAGAUUAACUGCAGCAUCACAUACAUAUAUAGAUAUAGAUAUACAUAUUUCAUGAGUUUUCCCCUUCAGGUUUGAUGCUUAUCACUUUGAAAAAUUAUAAAGACGACUGAAAAGACAGCCCAUAGGUCCUUUCUGGAGAAGAAAAGCAACUCUCCCACAACUUCAACUCAUGGAUUGCUCCUGCGUUUCCUUAAGAAAUAUUUCUGAAAGAAGCAUGACUCUUAGCAGCAAAUCAUAUGAUGACAAAAUUGGAAUCAAUAUUGCAUAGAUAAUUCUUCAGGGAGCUAUUCAUGGGAAGAGACGGAAGGAGAAAGAGAAAUAUAUUGAACAGUAAAUGAAAAAGAAGAAACUUUGAUACGCAAAAUGGAGUGUCUUCCACUAAAAAAA